AUUGAACGCUGGCGGCAGGCCUAACACAUGCGAGUCGAGCGGAUGAAGGGAGCUUGCUCCUGGAUUCAGCGGCGGACGGGUGAGUAAUGCCUAGGAAUUUGCCUGGUAGUGGGGGAUAACGUCCGGAAACGGGCGCUAAUACCGCAUACGUCCUGAGGGAGAAAGUGGGGGAUCUUCGGACCUCACGCUAUCAGAUGAGCCUAGGUCGGAUUAGCUAGUUGGUGGGGUAAAGGCCUACCAAGGCGACGAUCCGUAACUGGUCUGAGAGGAUGAUCAGUCACACUGGAACUGAGACACGGUCCAGACUCCUACGGGAGGCAGCAGUGGGGAAUAUUGGACAAUGGGCGAAAGCCUGAUCCAGCCAUGCCGCGUGUGUGAAGAAGGUCUUCGGAUUGUAAAGCACUUUAAGUUGGGAGGAAGGGCAGUAAGUUAAUACCUUGCUGUUUUGACGUUACCAACAGAAUAAGCACCGGCUAACUUCGUG
rnacentral:rRNA from 1 species